GUCGACGAUGAUCUCCAGCUUGCUGGGGGGAUUAGUGGCGAACGGGUGAGUAACACGUGAGUAACCUGCCCUUGACUCUGGGAUAAGCCUGGGAAACUGGGUCUAAUACCGGAUAUGACCAUUCCACGCAUGUGGUGGUGGUGGAAAGCUUUUGCGGUUUUGGAUGGACUCGCGGCCUAUCAGCUUGUUGGUGGGGUAAUGGCCUACCAAGGCGACGACGGGUAGCCGGCCUGAGAGGGUGACCGGCCACACUGGGACUGAGACACGGCCCAGACUCCUACGGGAGGCAGCAGUGGGGAAUAUUGCACAAUGGGCGGAAGCCUGAUGCAGCGACGCCGCGUGAGGGAUGACGGCCUUCGGGUUGUAAACCUCUUUCAGUAGGGAAGAAGCGUAAGUGACGGUACCUGCAGAAGAAGCGCCGGCUAACUACGUGCCAGCAGCCGCGGUAAUACGUAGGGCGCAAGCGUUAUCCGGAAUUAUUGGGCGUAAAGAGCUCGUAGGCGGUUUGUCGCGUCUGCUGUGAAAGACCGGGGCUCAACUCCGGUUCUGCAGUGGGUACGGGCAGACUAGAGUGCAGUAGGGGAGACUGGAAUUCCUGGUGUAGCGGUGAAAUGCGCAGAUAUCAGGAGGAACACCGAUGGCGAAGGCAGGUCUCUGGGCUGUAACUGACGCUGAGGAGCGAAAGCAUGGGGAGCGAACAGGA
rnacentral:rRNA from 1 species